GCCUAUCAGAUGGAGACAGCAAAGCAUUGGGUUUACUUGUCAAGGCUGCAAGAAUUGUGGAUGAAAUCUUUUACCUGCAGGUUUGGUACAGCAAUCCAGCUCUAAGGGAUUGGUUGAAAGAGCAUGCUGAUGCAUCAGAAUUGGAUAAGCUCAAAUGGAUGUAUUAUUCGAUUAAUAAGAGUCCAUGGUCCUGCCUUGAUGAAAAUAAGCCAUUUUUGACAACAGCAGAUUCAGCCGUACAGUUGCUUCCUGAAGCCACCAAGCCCAUUAGUGGAUGGAAGGG
rnacentral:misc_RNA from 1 species